UGGCGGACGGGUGAGUAACGCGUGGGUAACCUGCCUUACACAGGGGGAUAACACCUGGAAACAGGUGCUAAUACCGCAUAAGCGCACAGGGCCGCAUGGCCCGGUGUGAAAAACUCCGGUGGUGUAAGAUGGACCCGCGUCUGAUUAGCCAGUUGGCAGGGUAACGGCCUACCAAAGCGACGAUCAGUAGCCGGCCUGAGAGGGUGGACGGCCACAUUGGGACUGAGACACGGCCCAAACUCCUACGGAAGGCAGCAG
rnacentral:rRNA from 1 species